GACGAACGCUGGCGGCGUGCUUAACACAUGCAAGUCGAACGGAAAGGCCCUGCUUUUGUGGGGUGCUCGAGUGGCGAACGGGUGAUUAACACGUGCGUAACCUGCCCUUGACUUUGGGAUAACUUCAGGAAACUUGGGCUAAUACCGGAUAGGAGCUCCUGCUGCAUGGUGGGGGUUGGAAAGUCUCGGCGGUUGGGGAUGGACUCGCGGCUUAUCAGCUUGUUGGUGGGGUAGUGGCUUACCAAGGCUUUGACGGGUAGCCGGCCUGAGAGGGUGACCGGCCACAUUGGGACUGAGAUACGGCCCAGACUCCUACGGGAGGCAGCAGGGGGGAAUAUUGCACAAUGGGCGGAAGCCUGAUGCAGAAACGCCGCGUGCGGGAUGACGGCCUUCGGGUUGUAAACCGCUUUCGCCUGUGACGAAGCGUGAGUGACGGUAAUGGGUAAAGAAGCACCGGCUAACUACGUG
rnacentral:rRNA from 1 species